AUUGAACGCUGGCGGCAUGCUUUACACAUGCAAGGCGAACGGUAACAGGCCGCAAGGCGCUGACGAGUGCCGAACGGGGGAGUAAUGCAUCGGAACGUGCCCGGUCGUGGGGGAUAACGCAGCGAAAGCUGCGCUAAUACCGCAUACGAUCAAUGGAUGAAAGCGGGGGACCGUAAGGCCACGCGCGAUUGGAGCGGCCGAUGUCAGAUUAGGUAGUUGGUGGGGUAAAGGUUACCCAAGCCGACGAUCUGUAGCUGGUCUGAGAGGACGACCAGCCACACUGGGACUGAGACACGGCCCAGAGCCCUACGGGAGGCAGCAGUGGGGAAUUUUGGACAAUGGGCGCAAGCCUGAUCCAGCAAUGCCGCGUGCAGGAAGAAGGCCUUCGGGUUGUAAACUGCUUUUGUACGGAACGAAACGGUCUGGGUUAAUACCCUGGGCUAAUGACGGUACCGUAAGAAUAAGCACCGGCUAACUACGUGCCAGCCGCCGCCGUAACAC
rnacentral:rRNA from 1 species